rnacentral:ncRNA from 1 species
CCCACUGAGUUUAAGCAUAUAAUUAAGCAGAGGAAAAGAAAUUUACAGGGAUUCCCCUAGUAAUGAUGAGUGAAUCGGGAAGAUCCCACAUGAAAAUUGGGUGGCAGCGCCACCUGAAUUGUAGUAUGUAUAAGUUUCCUUAGCAGCGGAUCGGGCCCAAGUCCCCUGGAAGGGGGCUCCUGAGAUGGUGACAGCCCCAUUGGGUCGGAACCCUACCGCAGCACAAGUCAUUGUCAGUGAGUUGGGUUGUUUUAGAAUGCAGCCCUAAUCGAGUGGUAAAUUCUAUCCAAGGCUAAAUACGGGUGAGAGACCGAUAGAGAACAAGUAUCGCAAGGGGAAGAUGAAAACGACUUUGAAAAUGGAGUUAAAGAGUGCUUGAAAUUGGCAAGAGGUAAGCGGAUGGAGGUUGGCGAUGCGUCUCGGUCGGAUGCGGAACGGCUCAAGUUGGUCUAUCACUUGACUAGAGGUGUGAACCAGCACAGGUCGUUGCAUCAGCACAAGCGCGAGUGGAGUACUACCUGUUGGUUUUCCGUUGUGGCGGUCGAGGAGCGAAGAAAUCAAGGGAUUCCACCAACACUCAUUUAAAUUUAUUUUUAAUCGCUUGCCAAUACUUCUUUUAGUUUGUUGAUAUUGA